rnacentral:tRNA from 1 species
GCCUUCUUAGCUCAGUAGUAGAGCGUUGGUCUCGUAAACCAAAGGUCGAGAGUUCAAUCCUCUCAGAAGGCA